rnacentral:rRNA from 1 species
CCUACGGGAGGCAGCAGUGAGGAAUUUUCCGCAAUGGGCGAAAGCCUGACGGAGCAAUACCGCGUGAGGGAUGAAGGAUUUUGGUCUGUAAACCUCUUUUCUCAAGAAAGAAGUUCUGACGGUACUUGAGGAAUAAGCAUCGGCUAACUCCGUGCCAGCAGCCGCGGUAAUACGGGGGAUGCAAGCGUUAUCCGGAAUGAUUGGGCGUAAAGCGCCUGUAGGUUGUUUAUUAAGUCCGUUGUUAAAGCCUAGGGCUUAACCCUAGAAAAGCAAUGGAAACUAGUAGACUAGAGUAUGGCAGGGGUAGAGGGAAUUUCUAGUGUAGCGGUGAAAUGCGUAGAUAUUAGAAAGAACACCGGUGGCGAAAGCGCUCUACUGGACCAUUACUGACACUCAGAGGCGAAAGCUAGGGUAGCAAAAGGGAUUAGAUACCCCUGUAGUCCUAGCCGUAAACGAUGGAUACUAGAUGUUGUGCAUUAUGUACAGUAUCGUAGCUAACGCGUUAAGUAUCCCGCCUGGGGAGUACGCUCGCAAGGGUGAAACUCAAAGGAAUUGACCGGNUGAGACNGCGAGACGACACGAGGAGAG